ensembl:Mt_tRNA
AAAGCGCUAGUAAAAUUGAUUACACUGCCUUGUCAAGGCAAAGUCGUAGGUUAAAACCCUGCGUGCUUUU